GACGAACGCUGGCGGCGCGCUUAACACAUGCAAGUCGAGCGAGAACCGGGGCUUCGGCCCCGGGGACAGCGGCGAACGGGUGAGUAACACGUGGGUAACCUGCCCUCGGCACCGGGAUAGCCCGGGGAAACCCGGAUUAAUACCGGAUGGCCCCUCCGGCCCUCGGGCCGGCCGGGGAAGGUAGCUUCGGCCUCCGGCCGAGGAUGGGCCCGCGGCGGAUUAGCUUGUUGGCGGGGUAACGGCCCACCAAGGCACCGAUCCGUAGCUGGUCUGAGAGGACGAUCAGCCACACUGGGACUGAGACACGGCCCAGACUCCUACGGGAGGCAGCGGUGGGGAAUCUUGCACAAUGGGCGAAAGCCUGAUGCAGCGACGCCGCGUGCGGGAAGACGGCCUUCGGGUUGUAAACCGCUUUCAGGAGGGACGAAGCCACUCGGGUGAAUAGCCCAGAGGGUGACGGUACCUCCAGAAGAAGCCCCGGCUAACUAUGUGCCAGCCGCCGCAGUAAAAC
rnacentral:rRNA from 1 species